UCUAAGUAUGAACGCCUCAGAGCGUGAAACCGCGAACGGCUCAUUACAACAGCUAUAAUUUACUUGAUCUUGAGCUAUCCUACUCGGAUACCUGUGGUAAUUCUAGAGCUAAUACGUGCACAAAAGCUCUGACCUAACGGGAAGAGUGCAUUUAUUAGACGAAAACCAAGCGGGCCUUCGGGUCCGUCUGCCGUUGACGCAGAAUAACUCAGCUGAUCGCACGGUCCUCGCACCGGCGACGUGUCUUUCAAGUGUCUGCCUUAUCAACUUUCGAUGGUAGUGUACGUGACUACCAUGGUGGUGACGGGUAACGGAGGAUAAGGGUUCGACUCCGGAGAAGGGGCCUGAGAAAUGGCCACUACGUCUAAGGAUGGCAGCAGGCGCGCAAAUUACCCACUCUCGGCACGAGGAGGUAGUGACGAAAAAUAACGAGACCGUUCUCACAUGAGGCCGGUCAUCGGAAUGGGUACAACCCAAACCCUUUAACGAGUAUCUAUGAGAGGGCAAGUCUGGUGCCAG
rnacentral:rRNA from 1 species